rnacentral:rRNA from 1 species
UACGUAGGGGGCAAGCGUUGUCCGGAAUUACUGGGCGUAAAGCGCACGCAGGCGGAAUUGUAAGUCCGUUGUAAAAUUCAGAGGCUCAACCUCUGUCUGUCGGCGGAUACUGCAAAUCUAGAGUAUGUGAGAGGGAAGUGGAAUUCCUGGUGUAGCGGUGAAAUGCGUAGAUAUCAGGAGGAACUCCGGUGGCGAAGGCGACUUCCUGGCACAAGACUGACGCUCAUGUGCGAAAGCUAGGGUAGCGAACGGGAUUAGAUACCCCGGUAGUCCUAGCCGUAAAUGAUGGAUACUAGGUGUGGGUGUCGCAGGGCAUCCGUGCCGCAGUUAACGCGUUAAGUAUCCCGCCUGGGGACUACGGUCGCAAGACUGAA